GUGAGCAAAAUGUAAAAAGACAAUUACCAGUAAUACUGGCCUUACUACAUCCCUAUUAUUUACCUUGCAACCUUGAGCAGUUGUGCUGUUACAGCAGAAUGUGGUUUGAAAUGACAGUUAUUUUAUAUGGCCAUUAUGAUAUUCCAGUGUGCCAGUAAGACAUUUGUCGUUUGUUUUUUUUAGUAUUAUAUCGAAAAGGUGAUUGCAGGGUAUUCAGAUCCUGGAGUGAUGUGAAAUGGCCAUGACCUUGGGCAAUUUAUAAGUAAUAUAUGAGUGGUGUAAAAUAGGAAAUUUUUUAUUCAUUCUGAUUGACUAAUAAAAUUAGAAUGGUGAGAAUAAUGAUGAUGAUGGUAGUGAAAUACAAAUUGUGAUGAUAUUGGUGAUGCACAAGUUGUAAUGAUACUGCUGAUAAUGAUCAAAAAUAUAUUGUAUUUGUGAUGAGACAUAAAUAAUAGAGAUUGGCAGUAAUGAAUGUGUAUGACUUGAUUAAUUGUGCUGGUGAGAAGCCAAUAUAUUGCCACCUAGAUGAAUUAAGUCCCAUGCCAUUUUGUGUUCAAAACUAACUGUUCUCAUCAGCUCCAAGCAUAACUGGGAAAGCUGGUUGCAAUCCUGUUAGCUGAUCUUGAAACUAUGUGACACAUAUAAAUAUUUAUUUUUUCCCCUCAUGAAUUAUAUUGUUUGCCCAAAAUAUCGGUUGAUUAUUUCAUCUAGAAACAGUGUGAAUGUUGUUUGAAUUUGGUAUGUUCACUCUGUGACAAGUGAAAGUGAUAUGUAAUUCAUGCAUAAUAUGGUAAUUUUUGGUUUCAGGAUGUAAAAAAUGAAAUUUACUUACUGAUAAAAUUCAGUGUAACCAUAUUCGUUAAGCCUCUGUGUCUCUCUUAGAAGCCCUACCUCCUCAAUACAAAUAAAACUCUGCAUAGUGACUUGUGCCGUGACUAAUAUUAUGUUACAGCUUUGGUUCAAAUUUCAUAAAUCAUGAACCGAUGUACAGUAACUGCAAAUGUAAACAAAUAUAGGUGAACGCACACCCAGUAUACAGACUGUUAUUUGCCUUUAAGACUCCUAAGUCACAUAUCACUGAUAUAAGAUUCAUAGUAAAUUUUUUGUUUCAAGAUCACUGUAUAUUAUUUCUCAUGAUUCAGGAUUGGUACUCCCCCCCCCCUCCCCCUUCCAGACAAACAGAAAUAUAAAUGAUACAACCCAAAAAAUAAAUAUGAAAUUAACGCACACACACAAAGGUUUCAAGAUCGAUACUCUGUAUAUUUUCAUUCACAACUGUAUUUUAAACUACAUACAUACGGAAAUCAACCUGUCACUCGACCAGUUAAUUGUUUCAAAAUAUUCUGCUUUGAUAUUAACUACAUGUUUAAUACACAUGAACUAAAGAAUUUCGUUUCCACAGAUGUCCCCUCUGAUUUAUCCUUCAAUAAAAGUACAAUAAAAUCCCAAGUGAUAUUCUUUGGUCAAUACAUAAAAAUUACUUAUAAUCAACAAUGUUUAUUUAAUUCUUUAUAAAACGUCGCACACAAGCAGCUGCAUUGGAUACAAAAUAGACAGUUUAAAGACAGAUCACUCGACUAGUUUUCUCUCAGUUUGAUCUUCAUCCUUCAAUCUUUGAUAAUUAUUACCGUUAGCUCUUCCACAAUUUGUUGAAAGAAAGCUCGUAGAAUGCAUAGAUAAUAUAUACCCACUCUUAAAUCUCACUAGGAAAGUUUUAUUUAUCAUAAUAAUAUGAAAACUCGAAAACUUCGCGCUGCCAUGUUUGAUAAAAUAAAUCGGCUCCGCUCCCCCCGGAUUGAAAACUAAAUUAUUACGAAAUGUCCAAUAUUUUUGGAGUCACAUGACCAGUGUUUACCAGGGCCUUUGCUUCCCGUACCAGAGCCUCUGAACCGCGCAAAGGCCCAGGGUACGAGGUUGUAUUAAUUGUGUCUCGAUUCAGAGUUGACCCCCUGUCAAAUUUAUGACAUCAUAUGAAACACAAUAAUACACAGUAUAAUAUUACAGCUAAUUGUAGCAGAAAGUAUUUAACGAUUUUAAUUUAUUGAGUAGUACAAUAUGCCAAGGCAAUCCCUUUAUUAAUCUUGUCCACACAGUAAUUCAAAGAAGCUCUUCCCUCUGUACGAGGUUGUAUUAAUUGGGUUCUGUCCAAGAAAACGUCAUAAACCUUUUGAUCCAAAUGUUACAAAGUAUGAAUCCCAGAUUCGGAAACCAUAUAAAUAUUUUUAAUAUAUUCAUAUACUUUUUAAAAGAAAUGUUCUAUUCACAAAAAAUAUUAAAUGUAGUGAUUAGCCACCAAUACCAGAAUUCAUUUUCAUCACCUUCCCCCUGGUUAUGACCCCCUGCAGGGAACCACCUAGGGUGCAGGUAUAAUUUU